CAUGUAGUGGGAGGGAUCAACACAGGAAAGAUGGCGCCAACAGGCGGGCCACAGGACGGCUCCACACAGGGACAAUGGCAGCUGUCCCUCAAUCUCUUGUCCUGAAGCCACACAACUCAGUCUCUGGUGCCUGCUGAGCCAUCGUUUCUCUGCCAGAGCCCAAGGUCCUGGUAAGAAGUAACAGCAGAGAAUUUGAGGAUAUAUUCUUGGUCAAGAAUCUGAAGAAUAGAUAUUGUAUAUUGCUAAUAAAUGGUGCUGCUAAGAGCUUUGAUGAACCAGAAUAUAUGACACCAUAA